rnacentral:rRNA from 1 species
GAUGAACGCUGGCGGCGUGCCUAAUACAUGCAAGUCGAGCGAACAGACGAGGAGCUUGCUCCUCUGACGUUAGCGGCGGACGGGUGAGUAACACGUGGAUAACCUACCUAUAAGACUGGGAUAACUUCGGGAAACCGGAGCUAAUACCGGAUAAUAUAUUGAACCGCAUGGUUCAAUAGUGAAAGACGGUUUUGCUGUCACUUAUAGAUGGAUCCGCGCCGCAUUAGCUAGUUGGUAAGGUAACGGCUUACCAAGGCAACGAUGCGUAGCCGACCUGAGAGGGUGAUCGGCCACACUGGAACUGAGACACGGUCCAGCCUCCUACGGGAGGCAGCAGUAGGGAAUCUUCCGCAAUGGGCGAAAGCUUGACGGAGCAACGCCGCGUGAGUGAUGAAGGUCUUCGGAUCGUAAAACUCUGUUAUUAGGGAAGAACAAAUGUGUAAGUAACUAUGCACGUCUUGACGGUACCUAAGCAGAAAGCCACGGCUAACUACGU